GACUUACCAGCACAUUUUCAGGCACACCCAGGACCACAUCGUGCAACAUGGCUCCGCUACCAAAGUGCUGGGCAAUGGAUAAGCCACUCAAGCAGUAGCAGGUGUGGUAGAAGUCACGGGACCUGCAAGGACAGGCAGCACUGAGUGGUCACUCCUCUGUGGAAGACAACCACGCCUUGAGCUUAAAGAAGCUUGAAGUAUUUACUCUUGAAUCCUAAUGCAACCUCAGAGCAGCCUCAGAUGGAGUUUGACUCUCUUCAAUGGAUGAGCCAAGAAGUGCUGUCAAAGCCACUAGUCCUAGAUCUCACAUUGAGAUGGGGAGGGGACAAGGUACAACUUUUCCAGGUAGUUUCUUCCUCUCUCCUGGUUCAACCAUCACAGCUGUCAAAUGUAUUUGUUCCUUUCUACCGUUAUUGGUGUCACCCAAAUCCCAGUCAUUAGCUUCUACCUGGAUUGGUCUCCUGUCCAGUCUGUUUCCUUCCAGCCCUGAAAGGAUCAUACUUUUACUAAAACACUAUAAUCCAUUCACUGCAACUAGAGAACUUCUAACAAAACACAAAUCAGAUCACAUCACUCCCAACCUAAAUCCUGUCAGAAUAAACUGCAGACUCUGUGA